rnacentral:rRNA from 1 species
CCCUUAGAUGUUCUGGGCCGCACACGCGCUACACUGAAGGAGGCAGCGUGUACUCCUGGAUCGAAAGAUUUGGGUAACCCGCGAAUCUCCUUCGUGCUAGGGAUUGAGGUUUGCAAUUAUCCUUCAUGAACGUGGAAUUCCCAGUAAGUGCAAGUCAUAAGCUUGCGCUGACUACGUCCCUGCCCUUUGUACACACCGCCCGUCGCUACUACCGAUUGAAUGAUUUAGUGAGGACUUCGGACUGGGACCGAUGCGGCUUUCGGGCUGCGUCGGUAUUCUGGAAAGAUGUCCAAACUGUAUCAUUUAGAGGAAGUAAAAGUCGUANCA